CUCGAAAGCCUAUCUCAGUUCGGAUUGGAGGCUGAAACCCGCCUCCAUGAAGUUGGAUUCGCUAGUAAUCGCGCAUCAGCCAUGGCGCGGUGAAUACGUUCCCGGGCCUUGUACACACCGCCCGUCAAGCCAUGGGAGCUGGGGGGUGCCUGAAGUUCGUGACCGCAAGGAUCGACCUAGGGCAAAACCGGUGACUGGGGCUAAGUCGUAACAAGGUAUC
rnacentral:rRNA from 1 species